rnacentral:rRNA from 1 species
CUGGUCAAGCCGUUGGUAUCCAUGUUGAUGAGCAAGGCAUCCAACUUCUUGGUGGACCAGUACAAGGUGAUGGAUGGCAUGGAGAAGCACCGUGAGAUCCUGUAGCGUGAUAUGGCGGCAAUCUUGCACAUCAUCAAAGAUGUGGCGAAAGAAGCUUUGCGCGAAGUGGAGCUCAAGUACAAGGUAUUCCGGUGUGACGCCAAAAAGAAGGGGAAUUACAACAAGUUUGGCUUUGAUAUCAUAAGCCACUUCCCUGCCCACAACCCCAUCGUAUUUCCUUUCAGGAUGGGCAAGAAACUAUGUAGAAUUGUGCAAACCAUUGACGGCCUUGUCACAUGGAUGAAUGCCUUUGGAUUCAAACAGAUGCAACCAUGCACCACCAUCUAAUAGUGGCGCAUUACAGAUUCCACCAUACUCGACUCCGAGAAAGACAUUGUCAGGAUGUCCAGGUCCCUCGCCCUGCAGAAGAUCGUGAAUAUAUUGGUUGAUCAAGCAAGGGACAGGGGUCUCAUUGUCCUUCCCAUCGUUGGAAUCGGUGAGUUGGGCAAGACCACCUUUGUGCAGCUUGUCUAUAAUGACACUGAAAUUAAGGCGUAUUUCCAACUCCAGAGGUGGUGUUGUGUGUCAGACGGUUUUGGCGUUGCUAAGAUUGCAAACAACAUCUGUCAGACCAGUGAGAUGGAUCGUGAAAAGGCAUUGCAGAACCUUCAAAAGGAAUUAAGUGGGAAGAGAUUCCUUGUUGUGUUGAAUGAUGUAUGGAAUGAAGACGCUGAUAAGUGGGGAAAACUCAAGACCUGCCUGAAGCAUGGUACCAAGGGGAGUGCAAUACUGACGACCAGUCGUAAACCAAAAGUGGCUCACAUUAUGAAGAUGUGCAUUGAUGAUAGCCAUAACCGUGGAAAGCUACAUAAAGUAUUUCUAAAGGAAAUACUUGAGAAUAGAGCAUUCUGUUUCCAAAAACCAAAUGCUGCUGAGCCUGAGCUAAGUAUGGUGGUUGAAAUGAUUCUGGAUAGAUGUGUGGGCUCUCCUUUAGCUGCCAAAGCCUUUGGAUCUAUGUUGAGUACAAAGACCAAAAAGACUAGCAUGAAAGAAUGGAGGCACGUACUAACCAGAAGCAAUACUUCCAAUGAGGACACUUUACCUGUACUCAAGCUCAGCUAUGAUGACUUGCCAUCACACUUGAAACAGUGCUUUGCUUUUUGUGCAGUAUUUCCCAAAGAUUAUGAGAUCGAUGUGGAAAUAUUAAUCCAGCUAUGGAUGGCACGUGAUUUCAUACCACCGAAGAAAGGUGAACUUCUUGAAAGGGUGGGCAGAGAAAUUUUUGAUGAGCUAACUUGGAGGUUGUUUUUUCACGAUAUCAAGUUAAUCUCUCAAAGAAAAAAUUAUCAGCUCCGUUCUAGAACAGUACGCAAGAUACAUGAUCGUAUGCAUGACAUUGCGUUGUCUGUUAUGGGAAAAGAUUGUCUUAAUAUACCUAUUCAAAAGGAGUUGCUGUCAGCAGGCCCUACUCGCCACUUAUUCUCAUCAUAUCGUUUUAUUGGAACUCUUUUGGAUGAUUAUCUGAAGAUAUACUCUCCAGCUCUCCAGACACAGUUGCGUCCUACAUAUGCUCUUGGCUUAGCACCGCGCUUUUUGAAGUACAGUCAUCUGCUAGCACUGAAAUUCUGUGGAUCGAGAAAACAUCCACUUCGACCGAGGCACUUACAGCUCCUGAGGUAUCUUGGUAUCUCAGGCAAUUCGAGGAUCGAAGAGCUUCCCAAGGAAAUAAACUUAUUGUAUAAUCUCCAGACUCUCAAUCUUUCUUAUUGCUCGAAACUUGGUCAAUUUCCAAAGGAUAUAAAGUAUAUGACAAAUCUCCGUCACCUCUACACUAAUGGAUGCAAAUCACUAGAGUGCAUGCCUCCAGACCUCAGGCAACUCAAUUCUCUACAGACUCUAACAUACUUUGUGAGGGGGUCUAGUCCUGGCUGCAGUAGUAUUAGAGAACUAUGUUACUUAAAUCUUGGUGGGGAAUUAAUGCUAUCUUAACUUCAGUAUGUAACUGAUGCUAAAGCAUGCAGCCUGGGAAAUAAAGAGAAAUUCACACAUUUAUCUCUUGAAUGGAGCAAUUACAGCAGUAGGUGA